rnacentral:rRNA from 1 species
AGUGAACGCUGGCGGUAGGCCUAACACAUGCAAGUCGAACGGCAGCACAGGAGAGCUUGCUCUCUGGGUGGCGAGUGGCGGACGGGUGAGGAAUACAUCGGAAUCUGCCCAGUCGUGGGGGAUAACGUAGGGAAACUUACGCUAAUACCGCAUACGACCUUCGGGAGAAAGAGGGGGAUCGCAAGACCUCUCGCGAUUAGAUGAGCCGAUGUCGGAUUAGCUAGUUGGCGGGGUAAUGGCCCACCGAGUCGACGAUCCGUAGCUGGUCUGAGAGGAUGAUCAGCCACACUGGAACUGGGACACGGUCCAGGCUCCUACGAGAGGCAGCAGUGGGGAAUAUUGGACAAUGGGCGCAAGCCUGAUCCAGCCAUACCGCGUGGGUGAAGAAGGCCUUCGGGUUGUAAAGCCCUUUUGUUGGGAAAGAAAUCUUUCAGGCUAAUACCCUGGGAGGAUGACGGUACCCAAAGAAUAAGCACCGGCUAACUUCGUG